rnacentral:rRNA from 1 species
UGGGGAAUAUUGGGCAAUGGGCGCAAGCCUGACCCAGCAACGCCGCGUGAAGGAAGAAGGCUUUCGGGUUGUAAACUUCUUUUGUCAGGGACGAAGCAAGUGACGGUACCUGACGAAUAAGCCACGGCUAACUACGUGCCAGCAGCCGCGGUAAUACGUAGGUGGCAAGCGUUAUCCGGAUUUACUGGGUGUAAAGGGCGUGUAGGCGGGGAGGCAAGUCAGAUGUGAAAACCACGGGCUCAACCUGUGGCCUGCAUUUGAAACUGUUUUUCUUGAGUGCUGGAGAGGCAAUCGGAAUUCCGUGUGUAGCGGUGAAAUGCGUAGAUAUACGGAGGAACACCAGUGGCGAAGGCGGAUUGCUGGACAGUAACUGACGCUGAGGCGCGAAAGCGUGGGGAGCAAACAGGA